rnacentral:rRNA from 1 species
GACGAACGCUGGCGGCGUGCCUAAUACAUGCAAGUCGAGCGGACUAAUGGGAGCUUGCUCCCAUUAGUUAGCGGCGGACGGGUGAGUAACACGUGGGCAACCUGCCUGUAAGACUGGGAUAACUUCGGGAAACCGGAGCUAAUACCGGAUGACAUAAAGGAACUCCUGUUCCUUUAUUGAAAGAUGGCUUCGGCUAUCACUUACAGAUGGGCCCGCGGCGCCUUAGCUAGUUGGUGAGGUAACGGCUCACAAAGGCGACGAUGCGUAGCCGACCUGAGAGGGUGAUCGGCCACACUGGGACUGAGACACGGCCCAGACUCCUACGGGAGGCAGCAGUAGGGAAUCUUCCGCAAUGGACGAAAGUCUGACGGAGCAACGCCGCGUGAGCGAUGAAGGCCUUCGGGUCGUAAAGCUCUGUUGUUAGGGAAGAAUAAGUGCUAGUUGAAUAAGUUGGCACCUUGACGGUACCUAACCAGAAAGCCACGGCUAACUACGUGCCAGCAGCCGCCGCAGUAA